rnacentral:tmRNA from 1 species
GGGGGUGAAAAUGGUUUCGACGGGAUGUGCGGGAUCAAGAUAAGCGAGCCGAAGCCCCGAGCUUCGUUAAAAGCGGGAAAAUAGUUAAUAAUAACUGGCAAAACAAAUACACUUCCCGUCGCUGCAUAAGCGGUGACGCGUCCGCCCGCAAAAACCUACCGUUGCGGAAUCGGGCGUCAUUAGGGUAGGGAACCGACCGUGCAAAGCUUUGAGUGCGGUUAGGACUAUGAAGCUACUAAAGCCGUGAUCCAUCCGACGGGAGCACGGGAGAGGGAACGAUAAAACGACGGAUACGCUCGUAGAAAGUUUUGCUUUCGACAUUUCGGACGGGGGUUCAACUCCCCCCACCUCCACCA